AGAGUUUGAUCCUGGCUCAGGAUGAACUCUGGCGGCGUGCUUAACACAUGCAAGUCGAACGGACUUUUAUUGAAGCCUAGCGAUAUAAAAGUUAGUGGCGGACGGGUGAGUAACGCGUGAAUAACCUGCCUUGCACUGGGGGACAACAGUUGGAAACGACUGCUAAUACCGCAUAAGCGCACAGUUUUGCAUGGAACGGUGUGAAAAACUCCGGUGGUGUAAGAUGGAUUCGCGUCUGAUUAGAUAGUUGGUGAGGUAACGGCUCACCAAGUCGACGAUCAGUAGCCGGCCUGAGAGGGUGAACGGCCACAUUGGGACUGAGACACGGCCCAAACUCCUACGGGAGGCAGCAGUGGGGAAUAUUGCACAAUGGGGGAAACCCUGAUGCAGCGACGCCGCGUGAGUGAAGAAGUAUUUCGGUAUGUAAAGCUCUAUCAGCAGGGAAGAAAAUGACGGUACCUGACUAAGAAGCCCCGGCUAACUACGUGCCAGCAGCCGCGGUAAUACGUAGGGGGCAAAGCGUUAUCCGGAUUUACUGGGUGUAAAGGGAGCGUAGACGGCGAAGCAAGUCUGAUGUGAAAGCCCGGGGCUCAACCCCGGAACCGCAUUGGAAACUGUUUUGCUAGAGUGCAGGAGAGGUAAGCGGAAUUCCUAGUGUAGCGGUGAAAUGCGUAGAGAUAGGGAGGAACACCAGUGGCGAAGGCGGCCUGCUGGGCUUUAACUGACGCUGAGGCACGAAAGCGUGGGUAGCAAACAGGAUUAGAUACCCUGGUAGUCCACGCUGUAAACGAUGAUUACUAGGUGUGGGGGGUCUAACCCCCUCCGUGCCGCAGUUAACACAAUAAGUAAUCCACCUGGGGAGUACGGCCGCAAGGUUGAAACUCAAAGGAAUUGACGGGGGCCCGCACAAGCAGUGGAGUAUGUGGUUUAAUUCGAAGCAACGCGAAGAACCUUACCAGGUCUUGACAUCCAACUAACGAAGUAGAGAUACAUUAGGUGCCCUUCGGGGAAAGUUGAGACAGGUGGUGCAUGGUUGUCGUCAGCUCGUGUCGUGAGAUGUUGGGUUAAGUCCCGCAACGAGCGCAACCCUUGCUAUUAGUUGCUACGCAAGAGCACUCUAAUAGGACUGCCGUUGACAAAACGGAGGAAGGUGGGGACGACGUCAAAUCAUCAUGCCCCUUAUGACCUGGGCUACACACGUACUACAAUGGUCGGCAACAGAGGGAAGCGAAGCCGUGAGGCAGAGCAAACCCCAGAAACCCGAUCUCAGUUCGGAUUGCAGGCUGCAACUCGCCUGCAUGAAGUCGGAAUCGCUAGUAAUCGCAGGUCAGCAU
rnacentral:rRNA from 1 species